UUUCUCGGUUCUUCCGUGGUGUGGAAAUAAAACCAAUCAAAUGAGAAAAACAAAGGAUAUUUAUUCAGAGCUUGCUGGAGCAAGGAAGUCAGCCACCAUCACUCGUGUUUGGCAGAGACUCAAAUGCAGAGAGAGGCCUGGGAAAGCUUUAUAGUGGAAAAAGGCGAAGGCUUCAGUGUUCAGUAACCAGAGGAACUGCAUACUUUGAGAUCGUUGGCCUGAAGGUGCUCAAUUUGACCAGUCCCCAAGGAGGUACUUGCCAAAUUGCUAGGAUGGAACGUAAAUGACUCCGAAUCAUCAAAAUCUGAGGCUGCAAACCAAAUAAGGACAUUUGAAGAAGGAAUGGAAGUCCUGAUGUUGUCCGAAAUGGAUCAAGGAAGCACCAACAUCAACAUUUGCCAACAGAGCGUCAGUCCCUUGGAAUAAAAUUCCAUGAAUAUUCUGAUGGCUUCAGGAAAUACUAAGUGAAAACAAAACUAACA